GGGUGCGAUCACAUCAGCACUAAUGCACGAGAUUUCCAUCAGAACUCCGCAAUUAAGCGUGCUUGGGUGAGAAUAGUUCUAAGAUGGGCUUGUCUUAUGACUUUCACAAACACAGGCU
rnacentral:rRNA from 1 species